rnacentral:rRNA from 1 species
UAAGGAAUAUUGGUCAAUGGACGCAAGUCUGAACCAGCCAUGCCGCGUGAAGGAUUAAGGCCCUCUGGGUUGUAAACUUCUUUUAUAGGGGAAGAAAUGUGACGGUUCUCCGUCACUUGACGGUACCCUGGGAAUAAGCACCGGCUAACUCCGUGCCAGCAGCCGCGGUAAUACGGAGGGUGCAAGCGUUAUCCGGAUUCACUGGGUUUAAAGGGUGCGUAGGUGGGCAGAUAAGUCAGUGGUGAAAUCUUCCGGCUUAACCGGGAAACUGCCGUUGAUACUAUUUGUCUUGAACAUUGCGGAGGUAAGCGGAAUAUGUCAUGUAGCGGUGAAAUGCUUAGAUAUGACAUAGAACACCAAUUGCGAAGGCAGCUUACUACAUAUGAAUUGUCGCUGAGGCACGAAAGCGUGG